AAAAAAAAAUUCGGAAUCAUGUGCAUUCCACUAUGAUGAGAUCGUCCUCUUUUAAUUUGGACUUUGGUGGAUUGAACAUUCAAAUUAUCCAUAUUAUAUAUAAGGAAAAUUAUAUAAAUAGAAGUUGCUUUAGUAAAUUACCUAUUACAAUGAGAUGGUUGGAAAGCAACCCCAUUUUGGCAGAUUCCUUUCCAUGAAUUGGGAAUUGGGUGGCAUCCCCUCUUGAUGCUUUCUUAAUAUACUUCCGGGAAAAAAAAAUUAUUAGCUACCAGUUUUAAUGAUUUUGUAAUUUACCUUAUUGUAUAUGGUGACCAUCUUUUCUUUUUGGCCUUGUCAAUUGUACUUUAUUGUAAGGAUGUGUGAGUUUGUUAUGCACUUCUGUGUCAUAUGUUGUAAGUUGUAACAAGUGUUGUACUUCUAUUUUUCCUCCUUAAUUGUGUCUUCUCUUUGUAUUUUUUUGGGUAUUACAACCCUCUUUCUUCUGCAUUGUUAGGUGAGGAACAUUAUUUGCUCUAACUAGUGAUAGACUGAACUGUUGAUUAUUAAUAUGUGCAAUGGCUUGUUGAGUACAAUGCGGCUUUGGCAUCCAUCUGCUUCAUGAUUUUGCUUGGAUUUGUAGAUGAUGUCCUCGAUGUCCCUUGGAGAGUGAAAUUAUUAUUGCCAUCAAUUGCUGCUCUUCCUCUGUUGAUGGCCUAUGCUGGACAUCCAACUAUAGUUAUACCAAAGCCUCUCAUUCCCUAUCUUGGGCUUGAGUUUUUGGAUCUAGGUUUUGGUUGUAGGUGGUGGUGAUGGUGGAGUUCUUAGGGAAAUCUCUCGCCGCAAUACUAUUAUAUAAUUCCGAACGCCAUAAUUAAGUGACCCCAUAGUUAAGCUUGAAGUUGCUCUUAAGAUUUUGUUGAGGGAAUAGUUGAUAUGAUCGAGCGGUUGAUGUUGGGAGUCAAAGAUUAUGUUGCUCUUCUUCUUUUUUUCUUUCUUUUUUUUUUGAAGACUUGAAUUUUUUAGUACAGUGUAUUUAAAGAUGAUUAAAGGAUAAUGUCUAUUAUAAAUUUAAUUAAUUUGUUAAUUUUGUUAUUUUUCAUUUACAAAAAAUGGUUUGGUGC